rnacentral:piRNA from 1 species
GCUCUAAACAGUCUGAGGGACAGUCAC